CGACGUCAUUCUGUGACUGUGCAGGGAUUCAUGCUUGAAUUGAUUUAAAAUUUAUUCACCCCAGUGUUCACUCCCACCUUAGCCCCAUUCCAUGCGCCCUUACCCUUACUCAUCGCAGUAUCAAAAUAACUCCCAAAUGGGAUUGCUGUGCUUGAACACCUCCCAUCAUGCCUCUUAUCUUCUGCAUGCAUUUGGUUAGUUCCUGAAGCAUACAGCCCCCCUCACCUGCAAGCCCCGCCUCAGCACACACCCUUGCCAGGUUGGAGGAAGUCCUGGUACCCGGAGCAGUUUGCUUUGUUUUUGCAGUGUCAGUGAUCUCACAAGCACUUGGUUGGCCACACAGUCCUAUCGAUAACUUCCAGCAGAUAACCCAAGUGGGUGACUGGGGGGCGGAAGCCAGGUCUUGGUUCCUGUGUGUGACCCAAGGCCCCCCAGCACAGGGCCCACCCUCUCAUCUGGCUCAGCCAGGUCUUGCAGAAUGGGCUCUGCUGAGAUCUAACCAGACACAUUUGCUAUUUGUUAGGUGAACUCAUUCCUGGAACCUAGCAGGUAUUCAGUUUAUGGCUGACUCUCAAGGGAAUAAAGGGAAAAGGAAAAGCGGGUCUAGGAUCCUUUGGAUUAUCCUUACAAAGCAAAAGCUGUCUGUGAACUGUAAUCUUCAGAACAAAUGCUGGGCCUAUCCAGGUCUGUCCGCAGUACCCAAAGUCGUAGCUCCAUGAUGAGCUAUGAUGUAGCCCAGCCACACUCAGUGACGGCUCCUGGUUCCUCACUUUCCAGGGCAGCUUCAGUUCCUGCCGCGGUGUCAGUGCAGAUUGAUUCCUGCUGCGUUACUGAACAAACUCCUGACCCUGGGCUCUGAGCUGAUGAGCUGGCUCCAGAAGGUGUUAAUCAUCAUCACUCAGGUGUGCUGUCCUCACAGAGUCCUGGUGCACCUGGGAUCCCAGUAGCUCCACAUUUUCUUUGCUGCCUUCAAGGUUCACAUCUUCAGGGUCCCACUAUGGAGAAAAGAUGCAAAGGGUACCUGGGUGGAAUGGAUAGAUGCUUCUCAUCUGUUAUAACCCCUGACCCAAACAAAAGCUCCAAUCUUGGUUCUCAUGAUCCAGGCACAGACAAGGACAAAAGGAUAAGGACAAGUUACCCAGGCCUGUUUCUAGGACCUAAGGAGGCAAGCAUAACUUUACAUCAAGCAACUAAUGAACAACCACCCUAAACGUAACAGCUCCACUUUCCUUCCCGCCCUCAUUCUCCACUCUUCUCUGCCUCUACCAAGUCCUUAUCUAGUGAGACUGAGUCAUGUUCUCCUUAUCCUGACUCCAUGCCUAACUCAUUCCUGGAAAAAACCAGGCGAACUUAAUCCUUUUUUAUUUUUUUAAGACAGGGUCUUGCUGUGUCACCCAGGCUGGAGUACAGUGGUGCAGUCAUAGCUCACUGCUGCCUCAAACUCCUAGACUCAGGCAAUCCUCCUGCUUCAGCCUCCCGAGUAGCUGGGACUACAGGUGUGUACCACAAUGCCCUGGCUAAGUUUUUAAUUUUUAGUAGAGAUAAAGUCUUGCAAUGUUGCCCAGGCUGAUCUCGAACUCCUGGACCUAAGCAGUCCUCCCGCCUCAGCCUCCCAAAGUGCUCAGCUUACAGGCUUGAGCCACCAUGCCCAGCUUCAACCUAUUCUUUAUGGGCCAGGUAAAUACCUCUUCCCCCAGGAAGCCUACCUUGACCGUGUUAGCCCAUUGAGCUCUCACCUGCCUUUCUCUUUGUAUUACCUAUUCCACUGAUUUGCCCCUGAGCACGGACAGCCCUGGCGUUUAUGCGGACAUCUGCCUUGUUGUCUCAGGUAGAUGAUGGGCUCCAUGGGAACAGAGCAAACGUUCGCUCCUGCCUCCUACACGGUGUUUCCUCUAAACCUGAGGCUCAGCAGACUUGUCAUCACUUAAAACCCAAUUCAGAGCGGGGGGCACUGCCAGUGAAUAGUUCAUCACCGACUCAGUUUCCCCAUGUGUAUGCUGUGGUAUUGGAUCAGCAACGAGAUAAGAAGAUCUCUCCCAUUUCCAAGCGUCUAUGAUGAUUCUGAGGCACAAGGUCACAUUUGACAGUACUAGGAAACCCAGGAAACAACAAGCAAAGAUGACAAAGGAUGUGUCUGCCUGGGCAGACGAUCUAUUUGGACAAGAUAAUAGACCCAGGCAUGGACAUGCUCUCCAAGAAAGAUGCCCUGACAGCUGCUCACACUGAAGCUGAAUCGAACAUUCCAAUCCUUAGAGCUUCCAGCGAAGAUCUUGAAGUCUCCCUGAGCCACUGACACAAUGGCCAUGCCAUCCCAGUGAUAAAACACAAAUUGUGGCCUUGUUUUGGACAGAAAUAAAGAGCCCAGUUUGUUAGUGAUUUACUGAUAAUAACUGAAUCGAGUACUAAUACUUGGCGAUUUUAAAAGCCAUCAUGUUAAAAAGACCACCUGAUUCCCAGUGACCCUGCGUGACUGGAUUUGGGCAGCUCGUCCCCUGCACCUGUUUGGGGCUGUGCCAGCCACUUCCAGUGCGAACAUCGCAUUAACUUGCGGUCGCAGACUUGGCUGGACCCCUUGAACCAAAUUCCUUUCUGACAUUAUCAGACCCCAAAUAAAAGAGCUCACCAGGCCCCUCAGCCUACGUGACCCACCUGCCCAGUGAAAGAAGUAGGGCC
rnacentral:lncRNA from 1 species